UCAUUUGCAUUUUACGUAUAUUAAUGAAGGGAGAGCAUUGUUCUUUUGUUUGGCAACAAAACGUUUUGUUUUUAAAAAUUAGAUUUGAUAGAUAUCCGGUGAUUUGUUCAAGUACAAAGAAUGAAUGUUAAACAAUCAUGUGGAACAAAAAAUAUAAUGACAUGCUUAACACCAUGUAUAAAGAUACUAUUCACUUCGACUUUGCCACAUGUAAACCACGAGGCGUCGUGGCUAGCAGAUGCUGUUCAUACAAGGUGGAACAAGACUAUACAUAUAAGAAAACCGUUUUGAAAUGUGUUACACACGUUCUUGCUUCGAUAUCAUGUAUGAAAAUAGAUCCCAUAGUUGGUUAUGGUGUAGACUUGCCAUGAACGUGAGCUGUAAUUGUCUUUUGUACGAAUUUUUACGACUCCCAACGAUAUUUGGUGAACAGAACGCCCUUAAACCUUCGCCUAACCUUCGCCUAGCAAGAUCCCACAAGGAUGGAGUCCCUUUACCAC